GGGAGGGCAGACUCUGGGCGCCACUCCCGGGCCGGUCAUGAACGGGCCGGCGGACGGCGAAGUGGACUACAAAAAAAAAUACCGGAAUCUGAAGCGGAAGCUCAAGUUCCUCAUCUACGAGCACGAGUGCUUCCAGGAGGAGCUGAGGAAAGCGCAAAGGAAAUUACUGAAGGUGUCCCGGGACAAGAGUUUCCUCCUAGACCGACUUCUGCAGUACGAGAACGUGGAUGAAGACUCUUCGGACUCAGAUGCCACUGCAUCAUCAGAUAACAGCGAGACAGAGGGGACACCCAAGUUGUCUGACACACCGGCCCCUAAGAGGAAGAGAAGCCCUCCGCUGGGGGGCACCCCCUCUCCCUCCAGCCUCUCCCUGCCUCCUUCAACAGGGUUUCCCCUUCAGGCCUCCGGGGUCCCCUCCCCAUACCUGAGCUCGGAACGGGGCCAGGCCUGACAGAGGAGAGCAAAGCCCAGGACAGCAUCCUGCUGCUGCCCGGCCCUUCUGUGCUCGGGAGCCCCGGGAGCCGCACUCAUCACCAUCUCUUUUGUUUUUCCAUCCUCCUUCUGUUUGCAUUUCUUCCCCCACCCUCACCCCGGUCCAUUCCACCUCCCAUCUCCAUCCCCGCUCCCGCCCGCAGCUGGCCUCCCCCCGCUACCCCCCAUUCCCUUCUGACUACCUGGCCCUGCAGCUGCCCGAGCCCAGUCCCCUGAGGCCCAAGCGGGAGAAACGGCCCCGCCUGCCCCGGAAACUCAAGGUACCCUGACGUGGGGGUGCUAGGGAGGGGCAGGACGGCAGGAGGACAGUCACCUGAGGGAGGCUGAAGGCGGGGGCCUGUCAGAGAACCAUGAACAGUUAAUUUGGGGACCCAGUCGGCACUUAGCACUGAGGGGUGGAUCACAGAAGUCUCGGCUUACAGGCUUGUAUGGAGACAAAUCAGGGCAGAACCAGCCUUGGGGGACCCGGUGUGCGGAUGCCAGGGAUCCCGCCCUUUCAUGGCUGCAGUGUAGCGGGGCCAGGCUCAUUUUCCCAGGGGGGCGUGUUCUGUGAUGCCAGGUAGCCCCAGACCGGGUCAGGAUUAUGGGAUCUAGAGUCAAGUCAAGACUGCGUGUUAGAAACCACGUGGCCUUGAGCAGGUCUCUGCUACCCUCUAGGCCUCCUAGGCUUGGCACCUAUAGGGUGAGUGGUCCUACUCGAUGUGACCAGCAAGCGCCCCUGGAGCGCCUCCUGUUACACGGCAGUGCACAAAGCAGACCAGUGCCUGCCCUCACAGAGCUCACAGUCUAGCAAGAUAGGCAGAAAACACACCAGAAAAGUAGGUACUUGUGGAAAAGAACAGAGUGAGGUCCAGAGCAUGGGGACGCCAGGGGGACGAGGCUGACACUUAGGGCCCAGCAGUCUGGGAUGUUCUUUGAUCAGAGACUUACAGGAAAUGGCAGCAAGCCGUGUGGCUCCUGGGCAGUGUUUCUGUCGGGCAGAGUCUGUGUUUGGGAGAAAAGUAAGCAGGGAAUUGGGUCCCGGAGCAGGUCAGAGGGGGAGCUCCUGAGGUGCCAGUGUGCAGGAUUCGCUGUGAAUGAAGCCUUGGAGACAGCAGUUCCCUGGCGGGGCGCAGGUUGCAGGUGUGGAGGGGGAGUGAUCUAAUUGCAUCUUAACAAAAUUGCAGACACUGGUGGUCAGAGAACAGAUUGAGCGGUGGAGUGAGUUGGGACGGGAGUGAGGAGGCCACCACGGUAAACCAGGCCAAGGGCAGAGGGUCCAGAGGGAGCUGCGGACCCAUUUCAGAGAAUGAGCAUGGGAGUUCCUGGAGGACCUGGUGUGGUCUGUGCGGGAGAGAGGCCAGGAUGCCUCCAGGGCUUUAGUCUGAGCACGAGUGGAGUCUCCCUCCCUGGAGAUGGGAGGGCUGUGGGACCACAGGCUUGGAGGAAAGCUGAGUCUGGCCGCGGAUGUGUCAGGUGCCAUCUGGAAAGGCAGCUAGAUAGCGGCCCGUGAGGGGCUGCGCAUUUGGAAGCCGCCAGGCUGGCGGUAGAUGCAAGCCUUGGGAGAGAUGGGGAUGGGCUGAGGGGCAGAGCGGAGUGGGGACCAACUGGGCGGCUCCCAGGGUUCUGGAGCCAGAAGCAGAAUGAGAGGCCGCAUUUGCGGUGGUCUGGAGUACAGGAUCUGGAGCUCUAAUCCCAACUCUGCCAUUUUCUCCGUGUGACCUUGGCCCUGUCAGGCUUCACCUCUUGAGCCUGAGAAGCAGAGGGGAGCGGGAGUCCCUGAAGGGUCAGGGGAGUGAGGAGAUGGAAGGAAGGGAGUCCAAGCAGAGGAAGGAUAGCUGUGAAGACAGAAGCAGUGGCGGCAUUGUGCGGAGAAUGUGAGUGAAGGGAUGAAAAUCGCUCGGCCCGUGCCUGGCCCCUAGUCUGUGUUUUAGAGCGCGCGCUCUGGCUGCCGUGCGGAGGAGCUGGAUCUGGGAGAGGCUGCGGGCAGGGAGUCCAGUUAGGAGGCUGGGACCGCAGCCCAGAUGGCGGUGGGACCCCCCGACUGCCCUGUGGGAGGGCCGCUGACCUUCCCUGGCCGGGGUUCUGGGGCUGGGGUCGGGACAACCCUGACCCCCCUCCCACCCCCCAAGAUGCCCCCCCCACGAUCCUGAGCACGGUCCCUCGGCAGAUGUUCAGCGAUGCAGGUAGCGGGGACGAUGCCUUGGAUGGAGACGAUGACCUGGUGAUCGACAUCCCGGAGUGACCGUGACAUCACGCCAUGCCCACCACGGCCCCGCCCGGCGCCCUCCCCGUGCCAGCACACACGAGUCCAGCUUCCUUGGAGGUGUUUAUUGAUGCCCAGCUGCCAUGCUCCGGCCACUGACACAACCAGAAAAGGCGUAAACAUGCACGGGUGUCCCCCAGGAGGGUGGCAGGGGCCCUGCCUUCAAACCCCGGCCCCCUCCAGGGGACAGUUAUUUAAACGAGUGGCCGGGAGCAUCUGCCACCUGCUGGGGAGGCAGAGACCCUGCAAUGGCCACCUCUUUAAAAGGGCAGCUGUACAGGGCUGUUUUUUCAAUGAAGUUUCUGUAUUAAAGGAGUGGCUCUGG
rnacentral:sRNA from 1 species